AACGAACGCUGGCGGCAUGCCUAACACAUGCAAGUCGAACGAGACUUCCGGGUUUAGUGGCGCACGGGUGCGUAACGCGUGGGAACCUGCCCUUAGGUUCGGAACAACUCCCCGAAAGGGGUGUUAAUACCGGAUAAUGUCUUCGGACCAAAGAUUUAUCGCCUUUGGAUGGGGGCGCGUUGGAUUAGCUGGUUGGUAGGGUACAAGCCUACCAAGGCGAGGAUCCAUAGCUGGUCGGAGAGGAUGAGCAGCCACACUUGGACUGAGACACGGCCCAGACUCCUACGGGAGGGAGCAGUGGGGAAUAUAGGACAAUGGGCGAAAGCCUGAUCCAGCAAUGCCGGGUGAGUGGUGAAGGCCGUAGGGAAGUAAAGCUCUUUUACCCGGGAUGAUAAUGACGGUACCGGGAGAAUAAGCUCCGGCUAACUACGUG
rnacentral:rRNA from 1 species